rnacentral:rRNA from 1 species
CCUACGGGUGGCAGCAGUGAGGAAUAUUGGUCAAUGGGCGAGAGCCUGAACCAGCCAAGUCGCGUGAAGGAUGACGGCCCUACGGGUUGUAAACUUCUUUUGUCAGGGAGCAAGUGAGGCCACGUGUGGGCUUAGCGAGAGGACCUGAAGAAAAAGCAGCGGCGAACUCCGUGCCAGCAGCCGCGGUAAUACGGAGGAUGCGAGCGUUAUCAGGAUUUAUUGGGUUUAAAGGGUGCGUCGGCGGAAUAUCAAGUCAGCGGUAAAAAUUCGGGGCUCAACCCCGUCGUGCCGUUGAAACUGCUGUUCUUGAGUGGGCGAGAAGUAUGCGGUAUGCGUGGUGUAGCGGU